rnacentral:rRNA from 1 species
UACAGAGGGGGCAAGCGUUGUUCGGAAUUACUGGGCGUAAAGGGCGCGUAGGCGGCCUUUCUAAGUCGAACGUGAAAUCCCCGGGCUCAACCCGGGAACUGCGUCCGAUACUGGAAGGCUUGAAUCCGGGAGAGGGAUGUGGAAUUCCAGGUGUAGCGGUGAAAUGCGUAGAUAUCUGGAAGGAACACCGGUGGCGAAGGCGACAUCCUGGACCGGUAUUGACGCUGAGGCGCGAAAGCCAGGGGAGCAAACGGG